UACGGAAGGCAGCAGUGGGGAAUAUUGCACGAUGGGCGCAAGCCUGAUGCAGCCAUGCCGCGUGUAUGAAAAAGGCCUUCGGGUUGUAAAGUACUUUCAGUCGUGAGGAAGGUGUUAAGGUUAAUAACCUUAGCAAUUGACGUUAGCGACAGAAGAAGCACCGGCUAACUCCGUGCCAGCAGCCGCGGUAAUACGGAGGGUGCGAGCGUUAAUCGGAAUUACUGGGCGUAAAGGGCACGCAGGCGGUUAAUUAAGUUGGAUGUGAAAUCCCCGGGCUUAACCUGGGAAUGGCAUUCAAGACUGGUUAGCUAGAGUCUUGUAGAGGGGGUAGAAUUCCAUGUGUAGCGGUGAAAUGCGUAGAGAUGUGGAGGAAUACCGGUGGCGAAGGCGGCCCCUGGACAAAGACUGACGCUCAUGUGCGAAAGCGUGGGGAGCAAACAGGGAUUAGAUACC
rnacentral:rRNA from 1 species